CCUACGGGAGGCAGCAGUGGGGAAUAUUGGACAAUGGGCGCAAGCCUGAUCCAGCAAUGCCGCGUGAGUGAUGAAGGCCUUAGGGUUGUAAAGCUCUUUUACCCGGGAUGAUAAUGACAGUACCGGGAGAAUAAGCCCCGGCUAACUCCGUGC
rnacentral:rRNA from 1 species